UGCGUAGGUGGUAUGGCAAGUCAGAAGUGAAAACCCAGGGCUUAACUCUGGGACUGCUUUUGAAACUGUCAGACUGGAGUGCAGGAGAGGUAAGCGGAAUUCCUAGUGUAGCGGUGAAAUGCGUAGAUAUUAGGAGGAACAUCAGUGGCGAAGGCGGCUUACUGGACUGAAGCUGACACUGAGGCACGAAAGCGUGGGGGAGCAAACA
rnacentral:rRNA from 1 species